rnacentral:rRNA from 1 species
AAAGGCGGAUUUAUCUGCCGCUCAUGGAUGGGCCUGCGGUGCAUUAGCUAGUUGGUGAGAUAGUAGCUCACCAAGGCGACGAUGCAUAGCCCACCUGAGAGGGUGAUCGGCCACACUGGGACUGAGACACGGCCCAGACUCCUACGGGAGGCAGCAGUAGGGAAUCUUCCGCAAUGGACGCAAGUCUGACGGAGCAACGCCGCGUGAGUGAUGAAGGGUUUCGGCUCGUAAAACUCUGUUGUUAAGGAAGAAUACUUGAGGUAGUAACUGGCCUUGAGAUGACGGUACUUAACCAGAAAGCCACGGCUAACUACGUGCCAGCAGCCGCGGUAAUACGUAGGUGGCAAGCGUUAUCCGGAAUUAUUGGGCGUAAAGCGCGCGUAGGCGGUAAGAUAAGUCUGAUGUGAAAGCCCCCGGCUCAACCGGGGAGGGUCAUUGGAAACUGUUUUACUUGAGUACAGAAGAGGAGAGUGGAAUUCCAUGUGUAGCGGUGAAAUGCGCAGAGAUAUGGAGGAACACCAGUGGCGAAGGCGGCUCUCUGGUCUGUAACUGACGCUGAGGUGCGAAAGCGUGGGGAUCAAACAGGAUUAGAUACCCUGGUAGUCCACGCCGUAAACGAUGAGUGCUAAGUGUUGGGGGGUUUCCGCCCCUCAGUGCUGCAGCUAACGCAUUAAG